CAGAAACCACAGUUUUCAAAGUUGUAACCUGGUGAUGACUGAACCCACUGUAGGAACCAUUGAGGAAGAGUUGGCGACAUCGAAGUAAUAAGAACAGACGAGAGAGAAUGAGAUGGAUGAGAAGAGAGGACACACCACAAGAGAAGCUGCGUAGAUGCUGGAGACUUAUAGAGAUGGAGGCGGUGUCUCUCAUCUCAAAAGAGGGGCAGAAUAUGUCGGAGGUUGUAAAGGCACUACACGUCUAUUUCAACUUCUAGAAUAACCACAAUAUGUGACAAGAAUAAGUCACAAUUUUAUAUUUUACUAUAUUUGGUUACCCAGACCAGCUCAAGCUUGAGUAAUAGAAUGGCCGUUCGACGUCAAAAAAAAAAAAAAUAGAUAAUCUAUUGUACCAAACGAGAACCAAUAUUUUCAAUUUGUCUUUCAAUGGAAAACACUUCUUAUGUAAGGCUUGGGGCAAUUUUCAAGAUUUUUAAUCAGAAAUCAUUAUUUCUCACAGUAGACAAGCCAACAACCACAUUCUUCUAUUUUUUCAACAGGACCUAGGAAAAAAAAAACAGAAGACCGAGUUAUUAAGCUUUCCAGAAAAAUCACGCUUACUAUUUCAAAAAACAAGAGGGCUAAAAGUAAAAAUCUCACCGAAUAGUUUAAACUAAUCCCCAGGAUCAAACAGAGACUGUGAAAGGAUAUAUCUAUAUUCAAAACGUAGUUCCUGGCUUAUUUCGAGUUCGUACAUACACUUAGAUAAAUAUCACAGCUCGCUAUAAACAUCAACAUGUACAAUUAAAGAGGCACACAUGAACAAAAGGAUAUUAUACAUAUUAAGCUCUAGACCAAUGCUUGACAAAACUGCCGUAAAGAAAGCUCAGCACAUACAAAAAAAUUGUGAUCAUCAAAACGAGAGAAAGGGCAAGACGAAAUCAAGUGCCAAUUGGCAAUCAACUAACUGAUUAAGACUUCUGGAAAUGUGAUAUUUAGAUAGUAGAGAUUAAUAGUAGGUUUUCACAAUGGCUAACCCACUCAAAAUACUGUACCUUUUAUCGCGGUAAAUACUCUUAGUGGAGCACAAUAUGAUCUAUUAUUGAUAGAUACUGAGAUUCUGAUUUCGAACACUGCGAAUAAUUGACGCCCUUAUCCAAGCUUCCGAACACUGCGAAUAAUUGAACUGUGACCCUGAUAAAAUCUCGAAAUUCAUUAAGAUGUUGAUUAUGGAAUUUGUCAUAUCCCCUCAAUCAAAUCAUCGAAAGGUUUGCAAGCCUUUUCAGCGUUUGCAUAUGAUUAAAGGUCUUUCAUUUAUUGGAUCAGUUUAUGAAGGAAUAAAUGGAAAUCAGUUUCAUCUUCUCCAUUUUAUUUCUGAAUUCAGUUUCUACAAAGCUUGAAAAAACAGUAAUUUUGUUUUGGGGUUAGAUUUGUUUGGAUAAAUUUGUACUUUGGUUGAUGUGGUGUUAGGCUGGAGCAUGAAUCUGGGUUCUUUUUAACAUUCUGGCAAUUAAAAGAUCAAUCUAUUGCCAAGACGGAUCAAACUUUAAAUAGUGAUUCCAUCUUUGCAGGCUUUGAAAGACAGCCAAGAAGAAUUCAAGAAAAUCAUCAGAGCAAUCAAUGUUUGAAGCACAUUUACACAAACAGCUAAGUCAUCUAUAUAACUUUAUCAAAACCUCUAAAGCUUUCUGCAACUCACUUUUAAAGUUACAAUCCAGAAACAUCAAAAUCUGAUCAAGCUGUUGAAUCCAUUUGUUAGUUAAACAUCUGAAAGCUCAAGGUUUGUGAUAAAAAAUUUAAAACCUUACAAUUUUUUUUUUAAAACACAUAUAAUUGGAUUGGCCUUUUUUACUUUUUAACUGUUUUUUUUUUUUGCUAUUGUUAAUAUCAUUAAACUGAAACAUGAUUUACACCAAGAUAAUAUAAUUUAAUUUUAGUGUCACCUAAAGAGCUUUCGGUUCUUACUUACAGAGAUGGUGUUCUUGAUCUUACGAUCAAUAGUGUGAAAAAAAGUUGCAGUGAUAAAUGAGGUGUUUCUGUGAAGAACAUUGUUGUGUUGUUUCCAAAAUGAAAUACGACAGCCUGAGUUACCAUUUUCCGAAGGAAGAGCCGGUGCUUCCAUCCCAUAGUAGCAGCAGAAGUAGAAUCAGUACUGCGAUGGAAUUGUUGGCUUGAAUACUUCUGAUCCGUGCUAGCAGUUCUGACCAAUUAAUAAACGUUUGCUGGUCCGCUAGAAAGCAAAGUGCCAAAUCUGCUGAAAUAUAAGUCAAAUAUUUGAAAGUUCGACAUUUAACGAAGAACUUUACAGAGACAUCACUCAGCUUCUGGCUCUAGAGAAUUUCAGGUUGUACAAAGUCUUCAGCAUUCUUGAGAUCAGCAGUAGGAGAUAAAAAAAAAUGCCACUGAUAGUGCAGGAUGAAGAUGAAAACUACUACUUUGUAAAGGAGCAGAUAAGUUAAAGGUCGAUGCAGAAGGCGGGAAGCUACGUAAUUUUUGAGUCAAGUAUAAUCAUGGCUCAAGCAAGUUUAUUGUGGCAUAUACUUUCAUGAAUUUAUCUCACAUUGAUUCCUUACUCAUGUUCGAGCUACCCGAUCAUGAUCAGAUUAUGUAAUUUUUGAGUUUACUAUCCCGCCUAUAGGGCGGGCAAACCCUAGUUAUAUAAAAGAGUGUUUUGCUCUCUCUUUUUUGCGCCACGUAGGAUUCCACCUAAGAAAAUCGUCUCCUAACAGCUCGACACGUGUCCCGUCCGGUGUUGCACUGCUUUUCAUUUAAUCUAAUGUGAUCAUGGGCUUCGUUAGCGUGUUUUGGGCCGAGAAUUAGGACAGCGUAUCCGGCCCGAUAAAGUGUAUUUCGCCUCUAACCCUAAUACGGCUGAAGCAAAGACACGAAGUUCGUCUCUCCUCUUCUCGCACGGCGACGAUGAGAGGUUCGCGCUUCCUCUCCAUAUCUGAAACGUUCCAGAGUUAUGGCUUCAUGUUUUAUCCCUCCUCCAUGAUUACCGAAUGAAUCUUCUCCUAUAAAUAACACCUUCGAUUCAACGCAUCACUACGAUAAGAAAGUGUUUGGUUUCAUCCAAGGAUAUUAGAGUGUCUUUGAUACUGCUUGCAUUAAUCACAGAGGUAAACCAAAACAUUCUCCAAGGACUUUACACUCGAGAAAGAUGAAGAGACAUAUGCGUGAGUAGACAUUCUAAACUGACUGUAUGAUGCAAGGAUCUUAGAGUCUGUUCAUGAGGCCUGCUUGCUUAGUUACUAACACAUUCCGAACACUCCAAUACUUUCUUGACAGUGGGCUGCUGCAUUUUGCCUCUGUCGAAGACCAGAAGAAGAACGUUUGGCAAUGGACGUAUGUUUAUGCAUCAAAAAACUAAAGGAUCUGAUCCCGUAAGAUCCAAAUCUCUCUUCCUCUCUCUGAUAUUAAUCUGACCCUUGGGUUAUCAUCUUAUAAGAUUCUCAAUUUCUGUUUGGAGUCUGUAUCUUUUUCAAGGUUGUGCUUAGUUUCGAAGUGUUAAAGGUCUGAUUGUAUUUACUUAUUCUUCUUGCUAUUGAGUAGUACUAAAUAAUAAGAUUUUUUAUUUUGUUGUUUUAGUUUCUCUGUGAAUGUAACAUUAUAAACUCUAAAAAAUGGUAUGAAUUUUAACAUUUGCACCAAAAAAAAAAAAUGUAACAUUGUAAAUAUAUUCACUUGGUAUCAAGGUCAGCCAGAGAGAGAGAGUGUAUCAUUGUACUGGAUUUAGUUGUUGGAACCAUCCAAACCCGUGAGAAGAUUUCUUGGUACAGUGUAAAUGUGGCUUGAGUUUUUAAUUGUAAAUUUAAAUGUCUAGGUGCUGGCUAUCGAGGAAGUGUUCGAGCACAGGGUGACAUAGGUGGUUCUGAACGGGGAUGGGUGAGCCGAUGUUGAACCUAGAGUCAGUACUACUUGAUGCUCAUCGUUUUUUGAAUAAGGUAAUAUUUGCCAUAUAUACAUGCUUCUUCUUUUUUUGUCAAGUUAUAUACAAGCUUUCUUGCUAAGCGUCUAAUUAUCUAUGCACUAUAAAAUUAAUUGACAAAAGCCAAGACAAGUGUAUGUUUGAUGAGUCAUUAAUAUGACUGUAAACUGGCACGUGAUGUUUUCAUAUAUGAUAUAGUGCAUGAAAUGUUAAAACAAUAAGACAUAUCUAGCAGUCACUCUUGGUAUGCUUUUCCUUUUCAGUAAGGACAUUGAAAUUGGACAACUAAUGGUUACAAAAAUCUACAUUUGUCGUGUUCCAAACAUAAAUGAGAAGCUUGCCUCUUAUAAGCUUACUUUCUUGCUUUAUUCGUGUGUUGUUCCAUAACUAAAAUGAUCUUUUACACAAACUUCUCUUGAUUAUUGUAAUUCUCUUUGUUAUUACUCAUUCUUGAACUUUUCUUAAUUCACUUUACAUGAUCCAUCCAAACCGGGAGAAAAAUGUACCAAGUGCCAAGUCUUAUCCGCUGGAAGCAAUUGUGAAGGAUUGUCGUGAAGUAACAAACAGACGAAUCUCCUUCGAGUAUGCUCUUCUAGGUUUGAUACCUUACAACCCGAUACAUGGCCGUGCCAACAUGAAGUGCUGCCGAAGCUAAAAAAAAACAAUUUAAAAACUGUCAACGGUACAGAAAGUUAUUGUAGUUUAGUGUGCAAAAACAUUUAUUUUUUUAUACAAUUUUUAGUAAUUAACAAUUGUUUUCAUAUUUUUUUAAGUUUCUUCAAAAAUACAUGUUUUCAUUGGUCUCAUAUGUUACUUAACUACUCAUAGAGAUGUUAACGAUUUUAUAUAUAAAAAAAUGCCUGAGGCCAGUGCUUCAUUUUUUUCUCACGUAAGCACGGCGCUGCAGUGAUACAGCCCGAUAUGAGGAUCACGUGAGAUAUUAAAAAUAUAUUUAAAAAUUCAUCAUCCCAAAUUAAAAAUUAUUGGAGUUCAACGACAAACAAGAAAAAAUAAUUUCUAUCUAUCUUCAUUAUCUUUAUUGUUAGUUGAGAAUUUUUUGGUUUCAUACAAUUUAAAUUUAUUUUCAAAUAUAAACCAAAUAACUACAUUGAACAAAAAAACAUUUAAACAAUAUUAUUCACUUGAAAAAUACUACAAAAUAUUAAAUUAAAACUGGAAAAUUAACUAAUAGAAAAUUAAAAAAUAUAACCAAACAAUUUACAUUUUUUUGUAACUUACAAAACUAUUAAAUUAAAACUGGAAAAUUAACUAAUAGAAAAAUAAAAAAUAUAACCAAACAAUUACAUUUUUUGUAGAUUUAAAGGGGGAGGGUCCAUUAAAUUACUUGGUAAUUGGAAACAAAAGUUAUAAAAAUUGCAAGUGAAAUGAAACAUAUCUAUAGUCCAACCAAUUAAACACCAUAGCUUAAAUUUAAUUAACUUUUGUUCAUUUUGCUUAUCACCUUAUAUAUUUUUCAAUAACAAAAAUAAAAAAAAUUUGGAUACAGAAAUUCAAAAUUUGUAAGACAAAAAACAAUGAAAAUCUUAAAAAAUUUAUAAUAAUAUACCUACUUAUGUAUUUUAAUAGAUUGUACUAUUUAUAUAUUAAAUAAACAUACAAAAUAUAUAAUCAAAAUUUAAAUUUAAACAAAAAAAUCGGAUGUAGCCCGGGCCGACCCUAGUUGUAUAUAUGAUACUAGUUAAAUGAAGAAUUAUGGAUGUGUUAGAAACUCCUAAAACGCGUGUAAGAAUAGAGCCAUGAAUCACAAAUCAAAACAAUUGUAUAUAUGACACUCCGAGGAGAGUGAUAAAGGUCUACAAGGACGAUUGGAUCACUAUAAUGCCAUUUACAUGUUUAAUAAACAAAUCGAUGUUCAUCUACAUGUUGAGAAAAUAGAUUACUUAAAAAAAAUUACACUUUUAAAUAAUCUAAAGAAUUCUUCUUCCUAUUUUAAACGAACCCUUUGGUUCAAAAAUGAAAGAAAAGGCAGUCUAAGUCUUUGAUAUUAAGUGGGCGUGGAGCGGAUAUCAUGAUUUUGAAGAUAUCUAUGAGUCAUUACAUUUUAUCCUGAUCAAUACUUUUAUUACUCCCUCCAUUUUAUAAUCUCUUAUAUAUUAAAAAAAGUCAUUUAAUUUUAAUGUGUUAAUACUAUAUUGGCUACGUGACAGCCUCACAUCACUUUGAAGAUGAAUACGUUGACGUGUCGCUUGAACAGAACUUCUCACCAAAACUCGGUAUACUAAUGAAAAAUAUUUCCUAUUUUGAUUACACUAAACACGAGGAUUUGCUUAUACUAAACAAGUGGAUUUUUUGUAUCAUUUAGUUCAUAACGAUCGAAAUGAUGAAAAGCUAAUUGGGUCUAUAUUAUGUUGUAUGACCGGUCAUUGUCGUGAUAUUGGUCAAGUCUAUAACUUGGAAUUAUUUUGAAAAAGCAGAGAAGCCGACAGUAGAGAAGUAGAGAAGUUCAUAACGAUCAAGUUUAGGAGUAGGGAAGUUGAGUAAUAUAUGAUCAGAGUAGAGAAGUUCUUUAUCUACUGUGACGGUGAGCUUCGUCUGAAUCGAAGACGCAGUUGAUGGACGAGGUUUCAUGAAGGAAGAAGGAGUCUUUGGCAGGCCCAUGUUUGGCGCGAUUCUUUUCCAUGACUCCACCAAAGUUGAAUCAAUCUUGGAAGGAAACUCCGUUGGAAAGGUAUGAGCCGUAACUGAUUUGGAGGAUGCGGAGGUGACGGAUCGGGAGAGGAGGCAAGAAGCUUGUCUCAACAUGGAGGUGAUUUGCAUCUCGGAAAUAUUUGCAGAUGAGACGCAAAAAGAGAGUCGAUCCUUGAGAUUCUUAAAAGAAAAGCUGUAGCUCCUCAAGUGUUCUCGGAGUAUGAAGUUCACGCACUUUUGUCUGAUAUGUGUUUUGUUUAUAUCAGCCUCUGAUCGAUUGCUCUUCCUUCUUCAUCUAGAUGCAGUCGGUAAGAGGAUGGGAGAAGGUAAAGUUAUGUUUUUGUUUUCUUAAUCGCUUUGACUAAAUUGAUUUUUUUGUAAAAGGUCACAUAUCAAACAAAACACACAUUAAUACACGGUCCAUUUUUGAUUAAUGUAGGUUGGGUUUAAAACCUACAACAUCCCAUUUGUGUAGAAGUGUAUUUUAUCAAUAUCCAUUAAGAAAUCCAAUUGUUUAAGUUUCUAAAUUAUAUUAGAUUUUGGUAAUUAAAAAAUUAAUAUAAUAAAAUUACUAAUAAAAAAUAUAUUACAUAAAAAAUACUAUUAAUGAAUUACAUAAAAUUAAUUUACAUUAUUAAACUCUUAAAAACUAAUUUCUAUGAGUAUAGAUAUUAGAUUAUCUUAUUUAAAAUUUUAAAAUACAUAAUUUUAAAAUGUCACCAGUACAAGCAACACAAAUAAUAUUGGAUGUUUUUUUUCCAACUAUUAUCUAGAUUUAACUGAAUAGCACAAAAUAACACAAACAAACUAUUAUCAAUCAUUUUAACCGAACAAAACAAAAUAAACAUGGAUUUAGAACGAUAGUUAUAUUUUCAGAGAAAAACCAAAAAAUCAAUUUAAAACUGAACUGAUAUCCAAAAUAAACAAACCUAAUGUUUCUUAUCUUAAAAAUAACGAAAUUAAUAAUCUCAUCCUGCGCAAGACGCGAGUUAUUAUCUAGUAUGAGAUAUUUAGCAUAAAUCACAAAAUUAAAAAAACUUAACUGUUUAGAAGAUAAUAUUGUUAAUAAUAUAAAUCUAAAAUAGGAUAAUCAAUCAUAAAUAAUACAUUUAAAUAUAAUUGGUCACCAAUUUUCAAUGUAAAAAUAAAAUUUCUUGUUGGAGAGAUAUGAAUGGUUAUAUAAUUCUUUAUAUAUAUAUAUACAUAUUGAAUCAAAACGGAUAUCCAUUGAGUUAUAUUUCUAGGAUUUAUCUUUCGGCGAUGUUUGAGUCAGUUUUUGCUCCUCUCCUUUUUCUUCCUAUGAUUUAUGCAAGUUCCAUCCAUCCUCGUUCUAGUUCUUCUGUUGACAAAAUUUUCUUUCAUUUCAUCUUUGGUUGAUUCUUAGUUUGAAAAGUCAAUAAAUCUUUAUCUUAGUUUUGACCUAUAAUAGGUUAAGAUAAUAGUUCUCUUUUAAAUCGAAGAUUUCAAAAUGUUCAAUUUUGGCCUUGGGUUUGAAUUCACGAAGCUUGUGCUUUAGACGCAAAAAAUAUUAGAUAUUCAAAGGCACCAUACUUUGUAUAGUUGACUGUGGUGCAGUAGUCAAUUCUUUUUACCAAGAUAAGAGAGGUCUCAUAGCUUUUUAGUUAAGAGUUAAGAGGCCGUAUUUUAUAUUACGUACGCUAAGAAAUCAAACUUAAGAUACCUACAAUAAACAUGUUCUAAAGAUUGUUUUUUUUUUGAAACAUUUAGAGCAUAAUUAUUGGGAGGUUCUUAGGGUGGGAUUCUUAUCGGAAUAUAAGAACCCGUCUCUUAACUUAUAACUAACAAAGAUAAGAACCGUUUCUUAAAACUCUUAUUUAAGAGCCGGUUUUUAGUUUUUUUAAUUAAAAGUUAAGAGACAUGUUCUUUUAUUCCGCUAAGAACUCCAUCUUAAUAAUCCUCCAAUAAUCAAUAAUCAUGCUCUUAAUAAAUGUUGUUUUCUUUUGAAAAUUCCAAGUAAAGGGUUCAAUAGGUAAAAGCCGUAAGCGCAUGAAAUUAUUGUUUUGCUUUAACCGCCAGUGUAUAACGGGCUGGGCUUGUAAGACUGUGGCGUCGGCAGAACACAUGGAUACAAACAUCUUUUAAGCCUAAACCUCUUACUGAAAAAUGCAAAAUCACCAUGAAAUUUUAGAACUAUACAGAGAGAGUAAUCAAUCGAGAGAAGAUUAAGAGUGAGAGAUGAAUGUACAAGCUAGGGAGUGUUACAGAGAUGAUCACACGGUGAGAUCUAUGGAGCUCGGAUUGGAAAUUAUACAAGAAAGUUUCUCACUUUGCCUCUUGCUAUGCAACUGAACAAUGUAUUUUCGGUAAGUAAAGUUACACGCUAGAUGUCGGUUAAAUUACUAAAAUACCAUUAAUGAAGGAAGCAAGCAAUAACAUUUAAAUUUCAGUGGCACAAGUUGUAAAUAUUUAAAUGACCCAAGUGAUAUUUUAAAAAGUUAAUUCAAUUGAUAAAUUAAUGAACAUUUGGUUUUAAGUUCAAAGGUUGAAUAUAACUUCAUAAAACAAAUCAAGUAAUAAAUUAUAAAUCUUCAUAAAAAUGUAAUCUCAUCAGUAUUAUAAAUGAUAAUUAACAUAUAUUUUCUUUAUUUCAAAGAAAAUAAUAUUAUUUAAAAAAUAUAUUUUGGUUUUAAUAUUUUCUUAAAUAUAUUAUGCAGAAUUUUCUAUAAUUAUUUGCAGAAUGUACUUAUGAUAAAGUUUAAGUUAAAAAUAAUUAAUGUCAUAUUAAACUAUUUCAUAAAUUAAUAACUUUAUGAAUUAUAAUUCUAAUACAAUUUAUUUAUAAAAUAUUUACUAAAAAUGAAUAGAUUUUGUGAAAGUAUUGCAUAUUUAGGAGAAAGAGAUAUAACUUCUAUUUUUCAUUGAAAGUUUUAUCGUACGUCCAUUUUCCGCUUCAGAACCGUAAUCGAAAUCGAAAUCUUAAGGAAGCUUACAGAAUCUCGGUUCCAAAAAGCUUCUAAAUAUCAUAUUUAAAAAUACAUUGGAAGCAUACAGUUCCGUUUUAGAAUAACACUUCCGUUUAAAAAUCACAAUUUCAUAAAUCAAUAUAAUAUAACAUCAUGUUUAUGUUAUUAUAUCAAAUUUAAAAUUCGGUAGUAAUGUAAUAGAGAGAAUAUAAAUAUACGAAUAUAAAACUAAUACUAUAAAUUAUAUUUAUGCAUUGAGGUUUUAUUAGAGAUGGAGCAUAUAUAUUCAAAUAUAUUGUGUCAAUUAUUUAUGAAAUAUUGAAAUAAUUAAUAUAAUAAUUUCUUAUAAAUUUAACUUACAUGUAUUUUCAUAGUUUUGAUUUGAAAUCAUUAAAAUUAUUAUAUACUAAUAAAUGCUUUAUUUUUAAUUUGAAUCAUAUAAAUUUUAGUCACAAAUUUUAGUCACAAAUUUUAUUGUAUUUUAAUAUAUAUAGAUAGAUAUACACUUCCAACACGCACCCGUUUACUAUUUUUUUAUAAAAAAAAUCUUGCUUCUGCGUUUCAUACAAUUUCGCUUUCGCGUACCCGCUUCUAAUUCCAUGUAACAUAAUGUUUCGGGAAGGGUACAGGAGUUUAUCAGAUGAGUGAGUUUAUUUUCUAGGAUUUGUGGUUUGAAACCACAAUUUCAGAUCUGGAUUGAAUUUUUCUUUUUAUGAAUCCAAAUAUCUUUAAAUUUUACUAUCACAUCCAUAAUUUAUUGAAUGUGAUUUAUGUUUUUAAUAGAGGAAAUAU